ACGCCUUAAACUAAUGAGUAAGGAAAAUAACGCUCCGGUGGAAUAGCCGGUGUACUGGUUUUUCCAGACAAAUGUUUGUAGGGUAAAGGCCUUCUCGGCGUGUCUUCCUACUCUAGAGGACGCGUCUGAUGACAGCGGCCUACCC
rnacentral:snRNA from 1 species